GAGUUUGAUCAUGGCUCAGAACGAACGCUGGCGGCAGGCCUAACACAUGCAAGUCGAGCGCGUCCUUCGGGGCGAGCGGCGGACGGGUGAGUAACGCGUGGGAACGUGCCCUCCUGUUCGGGAUAACAGUUGGAAACAGCUGCUAACACCGGAUACGCCCUACGGGGGAAGGGAGGAUCGGCCCGCGUCGGAUUAGCUUGUUGGUGGGGUAACGGCUCACCAAGGCGACGAUCCGUAGCUGGUUUGAGAGGAUGAUCAGCCACACUGGGACUGAGACACGGCCCAGACUCCUACGGGAGGCAGCAGUGGGGAAUCAUAGACAAUGGGCGAAAGCCUGAUCUUGCCAUGCCGCGUGGACGAUGAAGGCCUUAGGGUUGUAAAGUCCUUUCACCGGGGAAGAUAAUGACGGUACCCGGAGAAGAAGCCCCGGCUAACUCCGUGCCAGCAGCCGCGGUAAUACGGAGG
rnacentral:rRNA from 1 species